rnacentral:rRNA from 1 species
UAAAACGUAGGUGGCGAGCGUUAUCCGGAUUUACUGGGCGUAAAGCGUGUGCAGGCGGGGCCUCAAGUGGUGUAUGAAAUCGCUCGGCUUAACCGGGCGCGGUUAUGCCAGACUGAGGUUCUGGAGUGCGGGAGAGGGGCGUGGAAUUCCGGGUGUAGUGGUGAAAUGCGUAGAGAUCCGGAGGAACCCCAGAGGCGAAGGCGGCGCCCUGGCCCGACACUGACGCUCAGACACGACAGCAUGGGGAGCGAACGGGAUUAGAAACCCCGGUAGUCCAUGCCGUAAACGAUGCCGACUAGGCGCUGGGGGACUCAACCCCCUCGGUGCCGCAGGAAACCCGAUAAGUCGGCCGCCUGGGGAGUACGGCCGCAAGGCUA